AGAUUUGCAGCUUGUAGCAGAGAGAUAUUAAGAAAUAUAUGAGUAUCUAGGUUAUGUGUUACAGAAUCUUUAUGAUGUGCACGUCCAACAUAUAAUCCGUCUUCAGAAGCCAUGGCUGCAUUUUGGGGAAAACUUAAUGUAUUGUUAAAAUCAAACCAUAAAUGACAUGUAUCAGCCAGCUGUUGUCUGAUAGCAAGUGAUGUAAAUUUGUAUUCUAAAAAAGAUAAUUAUAUUAUACAUUUUGCAUAUUUU